CUUUGACGCGCGCCAGACCUGGAAGAGCCGCAGGAGUGGCCCGGGUGGAGGCAGGAGGGGGCGCAGGGAGCCGCCUCCCGGGGAGGCAUGGAGAAGAUGGUAGCAACUUUGUCAAAGUAAUUCUGGCUGGAAGAAAAGUUGAGAGAGAGAGUGGCAAUCGAGGUAUUAACCAAACUGAAUAUCUGCUGAGCCCAGAACAGACGCCUAAGAGGGAAAGCACCACAUGGCCACUGAAAAAAUUUAGUUGGAAACUCACCAUCAAAUAUAUCGACCAUUCUGAAGAAAGCCAGAGAUAACGAUGACUUCCCACUGCCAGUGCGGCCGCAUAUGCCCACCUGAAA